CACACACACACACUCAGUCACUCAGACACACAUGCUGUCACUCACAGACACACAUGCUGUCACUCACAGACACACACAGUCACUCACAGACACACGCUCAGUCACUUAGACACACACACUCAUACAAUCACUCACACACACACACACUGUCACUCACAGACACACGCUCAGUCACUCAGACACACACAUGCACACACACUCAUACAAUCACACACACACACUGUCACUCACAGACACACACGCUGUCACUCACAGACACACACGCUGUCACUCACAGACACACGCUAUCACUCACAGACACUGUCACUCACAGACACACA